rnacentral:rRNA from 1 species
UGCCAGCCGCCGCGGUAAUACGUAGGGUGCAAGCGUUGUUCGGAUUUAUUGGGCGUAAAGCGCGCGCAGGCGGAUGUUCAAGUCAGAUGUGAAAUCUCGGGGCUCAACCCCGAAACUGCGUCUGAAACUGUUCAUCUAGAAUCUCAGAGGGGGUUGGGGAAUUUCGCAUGUAGGGGUAAAAUCCGUAGAGAUGCGAAGGAACACCAGUGGCGAAGGCGCCAACCUGGAUGAGUAUUGACGCUGAGGCGCGAAAGCGUGGGGAGCAAACAGGAUUAGAUA